rnacentral:lncRNA from 1 species
AUGAGUGAGGCUAACCGCAAGCUACUGGAGGACUGGAAACCAGUUUAUAUAUCAGUGUGUGAUGUAACCGAUGCUGCUGAUACUUGUCAAACUUACAGCAUGAAGUUGGAAAAGAAAUAGUCUUACUGGUUUGGACCUGGUUUUUUCCCUCAUCAGCCGCCCCCUACUGACUCUUAUUGAUUUGACAAAGGCCAGGGAACACUUUUUCUACACCAUUGGGCCCUUUGGACGUAUCGUGGACAAAAGGAAGCUUCUUGUUCUUUAGGAUCGAGAGAUUGGCCCUCGAUGGUCAGACAACAACAAGGACACGCUCGAGUUUACUGUUUUUCCUGUUCCAAGGUUGGACUUGCGCACCUUGUUUUGA